rnacentral:lncRNA from 1 species
UUAUUUUUGUACUAGUGUAAUGUCCUCAUGUAAUAAUUAUAAGAUUACCUAAUUGAAGGGGUAAGUUGCUGAAAGCUAUUGGUAUAAUUAUAACUUGGAAGAAUUUAGUCUUGGCUUUUUGAAAAAGGAUUAUUGCAUUUUAGUGUUGGAUUGGAAAGUGGUCAGAAAGCUUAUUUAUAUGCUAAAAGGAAAAGUGGAAGACAAAUCAUGAUCCUACUUUUAAUAUAUAGAAAUUAAC